rnacentral:rRNA from 2 species
CGGGCGUUAAGUUGCAGGGUAUAGACCCGAAACCCGGUGAUCUAGCCAUGGGCAGGUUGAAGGUUGGGUAACACUAACUGGAGGACCGAACCGACUAAUGUUGAAAAAUUAGCGGAUGACCUGUGGCUGGGGGUGAAAGGCCAAUCAAACCGGGAGAUAGCUGGUUCUCCCCGAAAGCUAUUUAGGUAGCGCCUCGUGAAUUCAUCUCCGGGGGUAGAGCACUGUUUCGGCUAGGGGGCCAUCCCGGCUUACCAACCCGAUGCAAACUGCGAAUACCGGAGAAUGUUAUCACGGGAGACACACGGCGGGUGCUAACGUCCGUCGUGAAGAGGGAAACAACCCAGACCGCCAGCUAAGGUCCCAAAGUCAUGGUUAAGUGGGAAACGAUGUGGGAAGGCCCAGACAGCCAGGAUGUUGGCUUAGAAGCAGCCAUCAUUUAAAGAAAGCGUAAUAGCUCACUGGUCGAGUCGGCCUGCGCGGAAGAUGUAACGGGGCUAAACCAUGCACCGAAGCUGCGGCAGCGACACUGUGUGUUGUUGGGUAGGGGAGCGUUCUGUAAG